UUCUGCAAGUGCUUGUGGGAAAAUGCAGCUGCCUGGCUGCUCUAAGUCCUCCCCUCAACUUGGUUUCUAGCAUUUGUUGAGCAGGAAGUGGGAGUGGCUCACCGCAGAGGGCAGGACCGCAGGCUCACGCAGGGCCCUACUCACCCCCACCCACCUCUGCAGUCUCCUGGGACCCCUCCCAGGCUGCAUAGAGGAUUUCCUCUGGGCUUCCUUAGUAUUUAAUUUUUUUUCUUUUGGUGUUUGUUCCUCGUAUAGGAACAUGUCUAUUCCAGCCAAUCCUGGCAAUUUGAGGGGCAUUUUGUGUGUAGUCUCACACUUUGAGGGUGUCCAGUCACAUGUGCUGGGGGAACAAGUGGCCCGAUAUUGAACGGACCCUCUGGGCCGGUGUCACUUCUCUGGGUCGGUGUCGUCUGUCCCCUCACCAGCAGAUACACCGCUCAGAGCGCAGAAGUUACUGGUGACGCACACAUGUCCUUAAAAGGCUAAGAUUGCUGGCUGAGGCAGAGGGAAAUUACUAACUGAAAUGGAGCUGUCAGAAGCUCCUCCAGCAGGGCCUGAUCAGCUAUGGGUGAUGUUCACUUGUGAGAGGGCGCAACUUGGCAGGGCUGGGAGCAAGAACUCACACAGAGGGGCUGCCUUGGCCCUUGAAGAACCACAGACACCAGAGAAGCAGUCUCAGCACAGCCCUCAUCUGUGAGGACUCUGGGCCCACCUGACGUCCUGCACCCUCUUCCCACUCACCCCUGGCUUGGAGGUGAGCCAGGGACAACCCUUCUGCCUGGAAAAGGGGCCCAGGAAGGAGGGUGUCUAGGGUGUCUUAGGUUGAGUUCCCCAAGAAGCUGAUCCUGAGGGAAGAUUCAAGAGCACCUAGAGCUUAACCCUGCAGGGAAGCCCUGGGAAGCCGCCAGCACUCACAUCAGGGUGACUCCAGCCAGGAGGUAGGGGCCUGGGUAGUUAUGUAUUGACUUCUCAACCUCUGGAUGGGAACUGCUUCCAGGAGGUGUCAUUCCCUCACUGGCACAGCAACUUUCUAGGGCCAGGAGCCCAACCUCAGGUGGAGAGGUGCAGGGAGGGCAGGAGGAGGUUUCAGAAGUGCUGAAGUGGUCAUGCCCAAGGCACAUGGGCGAGGCACUCCUGAAGCCCUGUGAGGGAUGCCAGUGCAUGUGUGGCUGUCGCUGAUCUGAGGAAGGUGGGGUCACCCUCACUAGCAAGAGCCAUCUGAGGAGUGCACCAGGCCCUCCAACCUUUUGAUGGUAGAACAUGAGGAGGGGCUGUGCCCCACAAGAGGAAAAGCUACCUGCUGGCUGGGUUGGGGACAGAGGUCCAGGCUAGAGAUGGGCCCAGGCACAAAGGUGCCAUUGGCUUCAUGGCUCUGCCUAAGCUAUAGAGAUCCCCCUCCCCAUCCCUCCUAGCUUGUCACUUGAGUAUACUCACUUUUCCCCCAUCCUCACCUGUGGCCUUUUCAUCAGAUCCCCACUGGAUGGGUGGAAGUACGGCUACCAGGGCAAACCUGGUGCUCUGUGGAGAGUAGGGAGAUGGACAGCAAGCCACUGGGGCGGCCCUCGCCAAUGAUCUCUUGGACCAGUGGGCCGAGCAGGGCUGCCUCAGGGUGGGACCUGGGCCUUCCAGCAGCCUCUGAGGUCCUGGCUGUCAAUGGUCAGGGUAGGACUAUAUGACCUCCAGGGGCCCUUCCAGAAUUAAGCAUCUUUGAAACUCCUGCAUUUCAUGGUAUGUCAGGCUCUGUGCUAAGUACUUUAAAUUGUUAUCCUCUUCAAUCCUUACCAUGCUCUAUGAACUAUGUACUACUAUUAUCUUCUGUUUGCAGAUAAGGUAACUGAGGCCCCAGAAGUUAACAAACUAGCCCAAGUUAGAGAGGAAGGGAAUGUCAGAGUUGGGUGUGAGUCCUGAGCCAGGCCUAGGACCUGCCCAGUGUGCAGUGAGGCUGGACCGACCUCUGCUUCCAGGCUGGGGCACAGUCCCAUUGACCAUGCCCCACCUGACAAUGCCCUGCGAGGGACUCCUCUGGGCCGGGCCUGGUCAGCACCUUGCGCCGCCAUGCAUGGCCUGAAACAAGUCAAGCUACAGUCUCAGUUUUACAUUAGUCUUUUAUUAUAACCAUAUUGAAUGGGAUCACUUUGCCAAAAAGAGAAAUCAUUCUUAAAUCAAUAUGAGUUAUAGCAUAAAGAUGGAUGAGAAAAAAGUGAUAGGACAUAAAUGGCAUUACUGAGUAUUCCAUCAAUCAAAUGAAUUGUGCCACUGUGAGAAAAACUACUAUGACAGCUUUUACAUCAAAGUGGUCUCAAUCCUGUUUAUAUGAACCUUAUAUAUCUUUUUAAUACUAUAAAAAGAGAGCUUUAGAAAGUAACACUGAGAAAACAGUCUGGCCUUUGAGAAGGAAGCCUAGCUUGCCACAUGCAUCCUCAAUGCAUCUGGCCUCCUCACUCCACUUCACAGCCUCCCCCACACCCCCUCCUUGACACAUGGGGAAGGGCCCAGGGGCCAGGUGUGUGUCCUCAGGAAAGGAGGGAUGGAAUUGGUUGUGGCUGCCACAGAAUGGCCACUUCUAUGUGGGGAGCUAAGUCCUCGAUACACACUCCUGUUCUAUAAUGAAUCCUUGGGGCAGUUUCUUAAAAAAAUAAAAACAAAAAUAAUGUGCAUCAACUCUGACAGGUUAUUAUUAGGAGGCCAGCAUGACUGCCACAGCGUUUGAUAUUUGUUUAGCAUCUCUGACAGAGUAGAGCAGGCAACUAACCCUCCUGAGGCAGCUUCCUUAGCAACCCCAGGGCUGACAGCACAAGAGUCAAUCCGUCAUCUGCAGACAAGGCAAAUCACAGGGAGGUCCUGGUUUAUUUUUGGAGUCACAUUCAUUCUGCAGUGAUAUUAUUUAUUUCCAGAUUGCAGUUACCACUGAACAUUAGCAGGAGGUCAGCUCUGGAAGAGGAAUCCAGUGUAACUAAAUGUUUACCAUGUUAUCCGACCCCAUGGCAUAUGCUUGAGGUAAGGCAAAGUCAUUAUGAUUUGCUAGUCUGUAACUCUCACAUGUAAUAUACAGAGCUAAAUUUUAACUCAAAUUCCAAUCUGAUCAAAGAGGAAUGCAUGAAACACAGACAGACAUAUAUAAAAAAAGAGAUGAUGAUGGGAAUUAAUCUAAGCUUCAUGUAUACAAAAUGUAUUUAACUGCUAAUAAUCAAAACAUAAGAGGGGUUCCACUGAUUACCACAUUUGUUAACAAAAUAUAUUCAGGAUUUAAAAAAUGUGCAAUUAAACUAAGCACCUGAUAAAAUAAUAAAAAGGAACACAUAUUCUUUAAUAGCACUGUAACUAAUAACUAUGAAGAAUUAAAAAAAAAUUGCUUAAAAACCAUAAGACAGUAAUACAAUUAUCUGAGUUAUGAGCCUGUGGGAAUUUGAGGCUGGUACUGUCCAUGACCCACUGUCCUUGUAUAUCUCCCUCCUCCAAGGAGGGGGUGAGCUUGUAGGGGCCACAGAAGCAAUAUCUCUGAGUGAAGCCAUUGGACCUCACAUGCCACCAACACAGCACAGGAUGGAGAGAACCGAGAGCACCUGCCUCUAGUGCGAAGCAGGGCUGGGAGUUUUCAGUGACUAUGAACACCCAGCCGACUGCAAUGAGCCAGCAGAGAGCCUUAUUGACAUGGUGGGUGCCUAGUGGCUCUUGCAGGGCCAGUGACCCUCAGCUAUCAUGACUCUAGCUCUAGGGCAAAGGAAAUACUAAAGGUCAGCAGAUGACAGUGGCCCAGCUCCCCAGGGAUGGCCAGCUCUGUGGUCCUUUCCAAUCUGUCCCAGAGGCCUGGUGGGAACAGCUCUACACCUCUCACUUUAGUAGUGAAAACUCUGACACCUUCCCAAGGUGAGAAAGUGACCAGUGGUAACCCUGCACAGUUGCAAGGUCACUCACUGUAUGGGGGCACCCACUGCUUACAAAGUGUUGUCAUGGGGACAUGUGCUUGGCAGCAGCUUACUCAGAGGUGCUGAGAGGAACGCUCAGAGCCAAAAGCCAGGGAGCUACAGUGUGCAUAUGCCAGGCAAUUGCUCAAUGGUGGAAGGCACACUACCUGUUAUCUGGCAAAACCAGUGUUAUUAUUCACCAUACAUGUUGAUGUGGUUAAGAGGAGAUUUCCCUGCUAGAGUUUAAGAACAAAUUGCAGAGCUAAUUAGAACGCUCUCCACAGUAAUUGACUUGGGAGCGAGUCACCAUUUUCUUGGAGGGCAGGUGGAAAAUCAUGUCAUUAUCAUAUUUGUCUAUGGAGAAAUAUAAGGUUAGCAGUGGGAGGGAUGUAAACAAUGUCUGUUCCUUUAUAAUGAGCUUUCCUUUGUUACCAUGAAGGCCUCCACUGCCAAGCUGCCUCACCAUCCUCUGAGGACAGGCGCAAAGAGCCAGUCAGCCGUGGCAUGUUUGCUCUCCCUGAUGGAGGUAAGACAGGCCCUGUGUCCCUCUGCCAUCCUCACCCAUUCCUGUUAGAAUUCCUGUGCAGGCAAAGGAGAGGAAAAGUAUCCUUUCCAGGGAUCAUCUUUAAGUAGAAAAACAGUUCAUGUGAUGCCCUGUGCCCAUCAUGGUUUUUUAUGGUGCCAGCCAACAAGGGGGAGAGUCUCUAAUCUGUGCUGAGCCCAGGAAGGCACUGGCAUGUCAGACCCGGUCCUGGCAGUGGCACCCAGGAUGCAGGGUUCAUAGCUGAGCACAGGCCCUGCAGUUCCUACACUUGACUGCCAAGAAAGGAAGGGGUUGUGUAGAAAUCCUGCAUCCUCUUGGCAUCUGGAAUGUUUUCUAGGUAUCCUUAUUCCCCACAGAAGGGACUCUAGGUCCAAUUCUCUAAGUCUUAUGACUGCUCCUUUAAGGCCAAUGAGGCAUUCUGACUUUGGGUGGGAAUAAACUUGGGUUUUUCCCUUUCUGCUUCAGUUGACGGGUAUAUACGGCUUUGAAACCAGAGAAACUUAACUAGAAAACUGCCUGAAAGAUGUUUAUCCCAUAAAGUCAAGGUUACAUUUUCCAUUUGAAGGACAGUAAUAUUCUUACAUCUUUUGAAAUCAGUGCAGCAAAAACUAGCUUAUAAUAACCUUGUUUUCUGGCUAUGGAAGAUUCUAAAAGGUGAAGCAAAAUUGUUUAAGGAGAGACAGUGAUGGCCAAAGUUGAUAUGGCCUAAGGAUUGCAGAUGCAUUCUUUAAUACA